rnacentral:rRNA from 1 species
UACGUAGGGUGCAAGCGUUGUCCGGAAUUAUUGGGCGUAAAGAGCUCGUAGGCGGCUUGUCGCGUCGACCGUGAAAACUUGGGGCUCAACCCCAAGCCUGCGGUCGAUACGGGCAGGCUAGAGUUCGGUAGGGGAGACUGGAAUUCCUGGUGUAGCGGUGAAAUGCGCAGAUAUCGGGAGGAACACCGGUGGCGAAGGCGGGUCUCUGGGCAGUAACUGACGCUGAGGAGCGAAAGCGUGGGGAGCGAACAGG